rnacentral:lncRNA from 1 species
AGCUAAUGAGAGAUUUUAAUCAGACCCAGCACAAAAGGAAGGAGAUUCCUGCAUAAUACAGAGGAGACAGAAAAGCUCUCCUUUGGGAUCAGGUCUGCUGCAGGAAGAGGCUGUGGUACAGGUGAAAGGAAAGGGGCUACAACAAAGCAAACACCAAAUAUCCAGCUAAUUUUCAGAGAGCUCCAGCCUGGGAUGAUCGCCUUUCAAAGCCUCUUUCGUCUCUGUAAUGCAUGAACACAAUCCAGCCUAUUUGAAUAAUUCCCAUUAUAGGAAGAAAUAAGGCAAACCUCCACAAACAAAAAACACUACAGCAAGGGAAGGAAGCAGAGACAGGAAACUACAAGGGCACUCUUCAGAGAGGCCACUGCUGCAGGAUAAAGGGACAGAUUUUUAUGCAUGUGUUGAGGUUCCUUCUGAAACUCAUUUCAGGCACCUGAACAAAACUAUCAGCUUUCCACAAAGGCUCAAACCAUCCCCUGCUGCCAGCAAGGAGAAAGUGCUUGCAGAGAGCUAGCUGCCUCCUCACAGCUGUGCAGGGGAAGCUAGACUGGGUUGAAAUAUAGGCUGUAUUUCGAUCUCACCAGUAACAAGAAAUGAACAUAAUGAGAUAAACAGAAAAGAUACUUCUUUUUUAGAUUGGACUCUACAGAUGCAAAUGCGCUAUUGUUACCAGAAAGGUGUAAGAUCACCUGGCUUGGUUUUGGUUCAAAAGCCUUGACCUGAGCAUGACAAGGACCCAGAAGCCAAGUCACCCUGCUGGGAUUUGAGAUGAAAUUGGUUCUCACUGCUGCCAUUUCUGGGUGACCUGGGAAGUGGCACACAAUUAAUGUCACUGUCUUCUGCUUUAGCUGCCAUAAACGUGGCUUCAGAGAACCUCAGAAGCCCCAACAAGAUCUGUGGAAGUUCGCAGUCCCUUAGACCCACCUUCCUGCAAUGCUCAGCAUCCUCACCACCUACACAUUCAGAGCCAGGAGGAUAACAAGGGUUAGAGAGAAAUACAGUCUUAGGAUGCUCGCUCCUUGUACCAACCCAAAGCACACUCAGGUUUUAAGGUACAGUACAGGAAACAGCCAUUUAGCUACUCAAAGUUUUUCAUCUUUGUGGAAAAUGCAUCAAAAGUAAAUUAUUUCUCUCUCAUUCUGUAAAAAUGGGGAGCCAUGCUCUGCAAUGGUUAGGUCCUGAAUUUGAGUGAGAAGAUCACACUGAACUUCAGGUCAGCUCCACGUACAUGUGACUGGAACUCAACCUGACCAAUUUUUCAGUUUUGGGAGAUGCAAGCCAAAUUCAUUUUGCUGUUACUGUGUAUCAUGGUAGAGCCUAAAAGCUUUUGUUAUGGGCUAUGCUGCUCAUGUCCUCAUUCACAUAAGCACUGAGGUUGACUAUAAGCCAUGGGACCAGUUGUGCUGGCUCAUAAUCCAUGAUUUUCCCCCACUUGCAGUGUGGCUACACUGGUGCAGUUGCUCUGGAUAGUCUCAGUCCGUGGACCUGUGCAGAGACAGGACAGCGGUGGCUGCUAUAGCCAGUAUCGCUGGGGCAUGGGGCGAUGGGACUCUUGAGAACUGCUGCUGUGCUUUGCCAGUGGAUCGCUCCCUGAGGUGGUGGCUCAUGACUAGGAGUUCCUUGGCAUGGAGCUUUUGGUACAGUUAGUCAGGAUGGAAAUUUUGGCUGUUUCAAACAGCCCACUUUUCCUCAGGAUGCAGGGGGCUUAAUCAAAACAACUGUUUUCCUCAAGUCCUAGAGCUGCCUCAUGUCAGUUCUCAGCUGCUCACUUGGAAAAGGAGGACAAAAGAAAGGAGCCAGUUUUGUGAAAAAUCAUGGUAGGCCACAAUCUGCCGAGUUAACAACAGCAAAAACAAUGAACAAGUCAGCUGCUUAGCAGGAGCCAGUCCAUCAGGAUACUGAAAAUUCAAUCCAGGGGAAAGCAGUUGGAGAAAAGGGCAAAACUUUCAGUGAGACACACUGCUUGACAAACAAUUUACUUGGUGCUGAUGGCCCUGCUUCUUGCUACCAACACGAACCAUGCUCCCAAAAGGCAGUGCGUGAGCAAACAUGAACAAUAAAGUGAUUUGUUCUCAGGAAGCAUUCAACCUCUGCCAACAGUCAACCGGAUCCAGACAACGGCUAGGGCAGCCAGACCGGCACAUGGCAGACCAAAUGAGGAACUGUAUCACUUGGCACAGAGCUGCUAUUUCCAGCACUUACAUCCCAUCCGCACGCUAGCUCAACUUUCUCACUCUUCAGAGGAGGAUGACUAUGCAUUUGUAAUGAAAUCUGGAUCUACAAAGGCCAGAUUUUUCCCUUGAGAUCAGUAGAGGGAAGUCCUUGCCUCCUAAAAUCCCCUAGUAGGUGGUCUGAUUCUCAGAUGGCCUCAGCAUUUGUAGCUGUGCACUGCAGCUUAAUAUAUAGGGCAUCUUAAACAUCUGCAGGAUAAACCUUAAUGUUAAAGGUAUACACUGAGUUUUAUUUGUCCUGUUUAUUCUUUUACUCAGCAGAAUUAGCUCUCAGCAUCAUUAAAAGAAAACCAAACAAAAUAAAGCAGCACUUUAAAGACUUUCAAGAUGAAAACCAGCACAGCAUACUGGAAACCAUUUUUUAAAUUAAAUAUAGUGCUAGGUUAUUCACACUCAGAGUGAACAAAAUAACUGACACUCCCAAAAUCCGUGGACUUCAAAUCAUAUCAGAGCAGCAUUUUCCAUAUUUGAAGAAGAUAAGUACAAAACAAACGUAAAGCUGUCACCUGGAUUUCUUACUGUUCAUGUGAAGUGUUUUCACUUUCACUGCAAUAAAUUACUACCUUAGUUUCUUGGAACAGACCAUAUGCCAAGGACUGUGGAGAGAACUUGAAAUAAAAGGCCGUGCUCCAGAAAGUUGUUAGAUGCCAUAGGGUGCGCCUCUCAGCCUGUUGUGUGGAGAGCAUCAGAUCCUUAGGGAGUGGAAAUCUGGAUCAUGAUCCUGUAACCGAAUACAAUGCCCUUCCACUGCAGGGUAGAAAGCAGCCUGGAGCUGGGAAUAAACUUGCUUUGAAACAUCAG